rnacentral:rRNA from 1 species
AUUGAACGCUGGCGGCAGGCCUAACACAUGCAAGUCGAACGGUAACAGGGAUCAGCUUGCUGAUUCGCUGACGAGUGGCGGACGGGUGAGUAAUGUCUGGGAAACUGCCUGAUGGAGGGGGAUAACUACUGGAAACGGUAGCUAAUACCGCAUAACGUCGCAAGACCAAAGAGGGGGACCUUCGGGCCUCUUGCCAUCGGAUGUGCCCAGAUGGGAUUAGCUAGUAGGUGGGGUAACGGCUCACCUAGGCGACGAUCCCUAGCUGGUCUGAGAGGAUGACCAGCCACACUGGAACUGAGACACGGUCCAGACUCCUACGGGAGGCAGCAGUGGGGAAUAUUGCACAAUGGGCGCAAGCCUGAUGCAGCCAUGCCGCGUGUAUGAAGAAGGCCUUCGGGUUGUAAAGUACUUUCGGCGGGGAGGAAGGGAGUAAAGUUAAUACCUUUGCUCAUUGACGUUACCCGCAGAAGAAGCACCGGCUAACUCCGUG